rnacentral:tRNA from 1 species
GUAGUAGCUCAGUGGUAAAGCACUUGCCUCGUAUGUGUGAGGCACUGGGUUCAAACCUCAGCACCACA